rnacentral:rRNA from 1 species
AAAUGGUUGGUAAAUUUCGUGCCAGCCACCGCGGUUACACGAAAAACCAAAAAUAAUAGCCCCCGGCGUAAAAAGUGACCUGAGCCCAGCCAACAAAUUAAAGGAAAACCACCACAAAGUUGUAAAACACUUGCUCGUGGGACCCCCAACAACAAAAUGACUUUAAACCAAAGGCCCCUUACCCUCACGAAAGCUAAGAAACAAACUAGGAUUAGAUACCCUACUAUGCUUAGCCGUAAACAUAGGCAGUAUAAACACAAUACUGUCCGCCAGAGAACUACAAGUGAAAAACUAGAAACUCCAAGGACUUGGCGGUGCCCCAUAUCAACCUAGAGGAGCCUGUCCUAUAAUCGAUAAUCCACGCUGCACCUUACCAUUUCUAGCAAUUCAGCCUAUAUACCGCCGUCGGAAGCUUACCUCAUGAGAGAGACGAAGUAAGCAAAAUAGUUAAUAACUAAAACGUCAGGUCAAGGUGUAGCACAUGAAAUGGCAGAGAUGGGCUACAUUUUCUAUCCUAGAAAACACGAACAGCACAAUGAAACCUGUCCUCAAAGGCGGAUUUAGCAGUAAGGUAAAAAAGAAACUAUACCUUAAACCCGCUCUGGAGCGCG